AACGCGUAGGGAAUCUUACCUAGUAGAAGGGGAUAGCCCGGGGGAAACUCGGAUUAAUACCGUAUACCUCCUUCGGGAGGAAAGAAGGCCUCUCUUUGAAGGCUUUCGCUAUUAGAUGAGCCUGCGUAAGAUUAGCUUGUUGGUGAGGUAAAGGCUCACCAAGGCUACGAUCUUUAGCUGGUCUGAGAGGGACGAUCAGCCGACAUUGGGACUGAGGACACGGCCCAGACUCCUACGGGAGGCAGCAGUGGGGAAUAUUGGACAAUGGGCGCAAGCCUGAUCCAGCCAUACCGCGUGUGU
rnacentral:rRNA from 1 species